UUAUACAUCUUAAAACGUUAAAAAUCCUUUUUGUUCGCUAAAAUUGUUUCUAACGCAAAAAAUACUUGGAGCUCGAAGAAAAUAUAAAUAAAUUUUUAUUCGAACGAAUUCUUUCACCUUGCAAUCUCGCGUUAUACAUCUUAAAACGUUACAAAUCCUUUUUGUUUGGUAAAAUAAAGUAUCAUGAAUUUUUCAUUCCUUCGCAGGAAACAUGUAUAUAUGUAUCUGGAUCAUAAAAGUAUAAGAAGAUAGAUCGGUUUGAAAUAGAACCCUGAUGAUAAUUCGUCUGAUAAUUCUCAUUGAACCUGCCGAUUAGUAAGAAGUGAAGCGUUGCGUAACUGAUUUAUUUUCCUUUAACAAUCGAUAAGACACAAUGACUGCUCAUUAUCGCGAUAUUUUCUCUUUCUUUCCUUUCCUCGGUCGACGCACGUGAUCUCAAGACAAUCUGGUCAUGGAUCUAAACAGACUUGUCCUGCAGCUGCGCGAUCCCCUUGCAGACCUUGGAUUUCCUUAUCCUGAUUAGACGUUUGAUCUUCCAUAUACGGAGGAUUAUACGUACUUUGUCUAUGUAUCAGGAAGAAUCGUUCUUUCAUCAUUUAAUCGAUGCACGUGUAAAUUACUGCCACGGAUCAUCCAUUUGAUGAAAAAUCUUUCUGUUCGAGGAAAGUUUCAAUCGUGUACCGAGUUACAAUCGUGAAGAUAACAAGGUAUAAUUAUCGAUGUAAUAUUCGAUGAUCAAUAUAAUUUGUAUCAAAAAUUCUUUUUCUGUAAUAUAUUUUUUAUAGUAUAUUUAAC
rnacentral:misc_RNA from 1 species